UACGUAGGAGGCGAGCGUUGUCCGGAAUUACUGGGCGUAAAGAGCGCGUAGGCGGCGCGGUACGACCGAUGUGAAAGCCCCCGGCUCAACUGGGGAGGGUCAUCGGUAACGGCCGUGCUAUGAGUGCAGGAGAGGGACAUGGAAUUCCGGGUGGAGUGGUGAAAUGCGUAGAUAUCCGGAGGAACACCAAAGGCGAAGGCAAUGUCCUGGCUAUUUCCUGACGCUCAGGGGCGAAAGCUAGGGGAGCGAACGGG
rnacentral:rRNA from 1 species